UACGUAGGGUGCAAGCGUUAAUCGGAAUUACUGGGCGUAAAGCGUGCGCAGGCGGUCUUGCAAGACAGAUGUGAAAUCCCCGGGCUCAACCUGGGAACUGCAUUUGUGACUGCAAGGCUGGAGUGCGGCAGAGGGGGAUGGAAUUCCGCGUGUAGCAGUGAAAUGCGUAGAUAUGCGGAGGAACACCGAUGGCGAAGGCAAUCCCCUGGGCCUGCACCGACGCUCAUGCACGAAAGCGUGGGGAGCAAACAGG
rnacentral:rRNA from 1 species